GUGAGGAAUUUUCCGCAAUGGGCGAAAGCCUGACGGAGCAAUGCCGCGUGAAGGAUGAAGGCCUAUGGGUUGUAAACUUCUUUUCUCAGAAAAGAAUUAUGACGGUAUCUGAGGAAUAAGCAUCGGCUAACUCUGUGCCAGCAGCCGCGGUAAGACAGAGGAUGCAAGCGUUAUCCGGAAUGAUUGGGCGUAAAGCGUCUGUAGGUUGUUUAAAAAGUAUUCUGUCAAAGAUUAGGGCUUAACCCUAGAUAGGCAGAAUAAACUUUUAAGCUAGAGUUUGGUAGAGGCAGAGGGAAUCCCCGGUGGAGCGGUGAAAUGCGUAGAGAUCGGGAGGAACACCAAAGGCGAAGGCACUCUGCUGGGCCAAUACUAACACUGAGAGACGAAAGCGAGGGGAGCAAAUGGGAUUAGAUACCCCAGUAGUCC
rnacentral:rRNA from 1 species